rnacentral:misc_RNA from 1 species
AGCAGCCGCGGUAAUUCCAGCUCCAAUAGCGUAUAUUAAAGUUGUUGCAGUUAAAAGCUCGUAGUUGAAUUUCGGGAUCAAUAUGUUGGUCGUGCCUCGGUACGUACUAGCAUAUUGGUUUCUCCUUUCUGAAGAACCAUGAUGUCAUUUAUUUGGUGUCGUGGGGAAUCAGGACUGUUACUUUGAGAAAAUUAGAGUGUUUAAAGCAGGCUCACGCUUGAAUACAUUAGCAUGGAAUAAUGAAAUAGGACGUUUGAUUCUAUUUUGUUGGUUUCUAGGAUCGACGUAAUGAUUAAUAGGGAUAGUUGGGGGCAUUAGUAUUCAAUUGUCAGAGGUGAAAUUCUUGGAUUUAUUGAAGACUAACUACUGCGAAAGCAUUUGCCAAGGAUGUUUUCAUUAAUCAAGAACGAAAGUUAGGGGAUCGAAGACGAUCAGAUACCGUCGUAGUCUUAACCAUAAACUAUGCCGACUAGGGAUCGGAUGAUGUUAAUUUUUAAUGUACUCUAUUCC